rnacentral:misc_RNA from 1 species
CUACAUUAAUUUACAUAAGAAUAAAGGUAUAUCUCAUCGGACCAUACCGAUCGUCAGUUUCUACAGCACUGCUGCUGAUACUAAUAAUAUUGCGUUUGCACAAUUGUUACGUCUUAUCGCGUUAUUUGUCUUGCAAUAAGUCGACGUCUUAACACUUUACCGACCGAUAGUCUAUUAAUCGGUGUUUUGUCACCGAUGUUUACCGACCGAUAACCUAUCAAUCGGCUUUUUGUCGCUAAUGAUUACCGACCGAUAGCC